rnacentral:rRNA from 1 species
UACAGAGGCCACAAGCGUUAGGCGGAAUCACUGGGCUUAAAGCGUGUGUAGGCGGGUUGGUAAGUAUCUUGUGAAAUCCCACGGCUUAACCGUGGAAUUGCUGGGUAUACUGCCGAUCUUGAGUCAUCUAGAGGUAACCGGAACAGAUGGUGGAGCGGUGAAAUGCAUAGAUAUCAUCUGGAACGCCAAUGGUGCAGACAGGUUACUGGGGAUGUACUGACGCUGAGGCACGAAAGCCAGGGGAGCAAACGGG